rnacentral:rRNA from 1 species
CUGGCGGCGUGCCUAAUACAUGCAAGUCGAACGGUCUUUUCUAUGGAAGCUUGCUUCCACUGAGAAGAUAGUGGCGAACGGGUGAGUAACACGUGGGUAACCUGCCCAUAAGAGGGGGGAUAACAUCCGGAAACGGGUGCUAAUACCGCAUAGUUUUCUUGAUCGCAUGAUCGGGAAAGGAAAGACGGCCUUUGUGCUGUCGCUUAUGGAUGGACCCGCGGCGUAUUAGUUAGUUGGUGAGGUAACGGCUCACCAAGACGAUGAUACGUAGCCGACCUGAGAGGGUGAUCGGCCACAUUGGGACUGAGACACGGCCCAAACUCCUACGGGAGGCAGCAGUAGGGAAUCUUCCGCAAUGGACGAAAGUCUGACGGAGCAACGCCGCGUGAGUGAAGAAAAGGGUUUUCGGAUCGUAAAACUCUGUUGUCAGAGAAGAACAAGUUGGAGAGUAACUGCUCCAGCCUUGACGGUAUCUGACCAGAAAGCCACGGCUAACUACGUGCCAGCAGCGGC